UCAAAAUGCCCAUUAGAGAUUGCUCACAUGAUGGAAAUGUAUGCAGCAACUACCGUGAAGGAAUGGCAGUAACAAAUCUCAAGGACAAAUCCUAGGAAGAAACGAGGAACAGAAAAGCAACUCUCACAGAAACAUGGGGAAUGCAGCAGCAUUUCCACAGUGCUCAGGAGGAGAGAACUAACUGUCUCCAUUUAAGAAAGAAAUGCAAGUUUCUCCAUCAACAAGAAGAGGAGCAAGUCCAUAUAUUACUGGACAGAUUCCAGAUGCUUGAGAGUCAGGAAGUGAUGCAGACAUCACACUUGAACCUGAGCACUCCUAAGCCUCUCUUUGUUUGCAUUUAUUGGUUCCUGUGUUAAUUGCUAAUUACUGUAAGAACAACCUUUUCUGGUAAGGGUUGAGCAAUGCACCAAUCUAUUGAUAAUAACAAUAUGUCAUUCAGAA